rnacentral:rRNA from 1 species
GAUGAACGCUGGCGGCGUGCCUAAUACAUGCAAGUCGAGCGAACAGAUGAGGAGCUUGCUCCUCUGACGUUAGCGGCGGACGGGUGAGUAACACGUGGAUAACCUACCUCUCAGACUGGGAUACCUUCGGGAAACCGGAGCUAAUACCGGAUAAUAUAUUGAACCGCAUGGUUCAAUAGUUAAAGACGGUUUUGCUGUCACUUAUAGAUGGCUCCGCGCCGCAUUAGCUAGUUGGGAAGGUAACGGCUUACCAAGGCAACGAUGCGUAGCCGACCUGAGAGGGAGGUCGGCCAGAUUGGAAGUGAGGCAGGGCCGAGACACCGACGGGGGGAAGCAGUAGGGAAUCUUCCGCAAUGGAGGAGAGCCGGACGGAGCAACGCCGCGGGAGGGAUGAAGGUCUUCGGAUGGGAAAGCGCUGUUAUUAGGAAAGAAGAAAUGUGUAAGUAACUAUGCACGUCUUGACGGUACCUAAUCAGAAAGCCACGGCUAACUACGUG